UACGUAGGGGGCAAGCGUUGUCCGGAUUUAUUGGGCGUAAAGAGCGUGUAGGCGGUUUGGUAGGUCCGCUGUGAAAACUCGAGGCUCAACCUCGAGACGCCGGUGGAAACCAUCAGGCUAGAGUCCGGAAGAGGAGAGUGGAAUUCCUGGUGUAGCGGUGAAAUGCGCAGAUAUCAGGAAGAACACCCGUGGCUAAGGCGGCUCUCUAGUACGGUACUGGACGCUGAGACGACGAAAGCGUGGGGAGCGAACAGG
rnacentral:rRNA from 1 species